CCGCCAAACUGAGUUAAAGUUAAAAGUCGAGCUCGCUGCAGAGAAGCGUCGCUUAGAGUAGGCGUGGCGAUACGAAAUUUUUCGAACGACACAGCGGCGGGGGAGCCUGUUCUGCAGGACGCCGACGCCGCCUAUGUCAGUAUGGAAGAGGCUUAGAUCGCAACGUGAAAAACCAAGAGACAACCAAAGGCCGGAGACAUACAAGAAGCGGCAUCGUCAAGACGAAGAAGACGUGGUGCGCAAGAAGGGCCAGUAUCCCUACUGGUAAACACUGGAUACCAAGCCGACUGCUAGUGUCCAUCUGGCAACAUUUGACAUGGAGAAAGCCAUACCUAUACAAAAUGACACCAGGUCCUCCGCCAAUGGAGGUUAUUGGAAGCGACUACAAUGAGGGUCGGUUCGCGAGGCCCCAAGACUUAAUCUCAAUCAACGCCUAGAUUUGAGUCUGCGCCUAGGCGAAGCAGGUCCGUAGCCAGAAUGAAGUAGCAGGGCGGGUGGCCCGUAUUUUUCUAGGGGGAGCCUAAGAAAUUUUUGAUAGACUUCCCUUGUAAUUUUUGUAAAGAAACCAUCAACCAUAAUUUCCAGUGGGGGCAAGACCACGUUCUAGGUGGGGCGCAGUCCCCCCUGGCCACCCCAUACCUACGGGCCUGAGGCGAAGGUAUAGCAAUCAUCUUCUGACCAAUACUGGAGCAGGAGGUCUUUGUCCCCUUAGGAAUGAAGAAACGAUGACAGACGGUUUAUCUUUAUUGGAGAACUCGUCCUUUUUCAAUACGUUCGGAAGUGCAUCUAAUGUUUACAAUAUGAGAUAUGUUUGUCUUUACUAGAAGCAUGUGGUUAAAAUUUCAAAAAGAUAUCUCGAUAAAUAAAAUAGUUGAUUUUG